rnacentral:rRNA from 1 species
GCAAGUCGAACGGAAACAUGAACUAGCUUGCUACUUUGACGACGAGUGGCGGACGGGUGAGUAAUGCUUGGGAAUUUGCCUUUAGGUGGGGGACAACAGUUGGAAACGACUGCUAAUACCGCAUAAUACCUACGGCUUAAAGAGGGCUUCGGCUCUCGCCUUAGAGAAGCCCAAGUGGGAUUAGAUAGUUGGUGAGGUAAAGGCUCACCAAGUCAACGAUCCCUAGCUGGUCUGAGAGGAUGAUC